UAAAAAAAGGUAAGCUACUAAGAGCGAAUGGUGGAUGCCUUGACUGGUAAAGGCGAUGAAGGACGUACUAGACUGCGAUAAGCUACGGGGAGCUGUCAAGAAGCUUUGAUCCGUAGAUUUCCGAAUGGGGCAACCCAAUGUAUAGAGAUAUACAUUACCUAUAUAGGAGCGAACGAGGGGAAUUGAAACAUCUUAGUACCCUCAGGAAAAGAAAUCAAUAGAGAUUGCGUCAGUAGCGGCGAGCGAAAGCGCAAGAGGGCAAACCCAGUGCUUGCACUGGGGGUUGUAGGACUGCAAUGUGCAAGAGGUAAGUUUAGCAGAACAUUCUGGAAAGUAUAACCAUAGAGGGUGAUAGUCCCGUAUGCGAAAAACAAACCUUAGCUAGCAGUAUCCUGAGUAGGGCGGGACACGAGGAAUCCUGUCUGAAUCCGGGUCGACCACGAUCCAACCCUAAAUACUAAUACCAGAUCGAUAGUGCACAAGUACCGUGAGGGAAAGGUGAAAAGAACUGAGGUGAUCAGAGUGAAAUAGAACCUGAAACCAUUUGCUUACAAUCAUUCAGAGCCCUAUGUAGCAAUACAGGGUGAUGGACUGCCUUUUGCAUAAUGAGCCUGCGAGUUGUGGUGUCUGGCAAGGUUAAGCAAACGCGAAGCCGUAGCGAAAGCGAGUCUGAAUAGGGCGCUUAGUCAGAUGCUGCAGACCCGAAACGAAGUGAUCUAUCCAUGAGCAAGUUGAAGCUAGUGUAAGAACUAGUGGAGGACUGAACCCAUAGGCGUUGAAAAGCCCCGGGAUGACUUGUGGAUAGGGGUGAAAGGCCAAUCAAACUUCGUGAUAGCUGGUUCUCUCCGAAAUAUAUUUAGGUAUAGCGUUGUGUCGUAAUAUAAGGGGGUAGAGCACUGAAUGGGCUAGGGCAUACACCAAUGUACCAAACCCUAUCAAACUCCGAAUACCUUAUAUGUAAUCACAGCAGUCAGGCGGCGAGUGAUAAAAUCCGUCGUCAAGAGGGAAACAACCCAGACUACCAGCUAAGGUCCCUAAAUCUUACUUAAGUGGAAAACGAUGUGAAGUUACUUAAACAACCAGGAGGUUGGCUUAGAAGCAGCCAUCCUUUAAAGAAAGCGUAAUAGCUCACUGGUCUAGUGAUUUUGCGCGGAAAAUAUAACGGGGCUAAAGUAAGUACCGAAGCUGUAGACUUGCACACAACUUAGAUUAUUUAAGUUUAGAAUAUGAGAAACUAAGUUAUAUGUUUAGUUAUAUUUUUACUGAUUUUUAUAGAGUAAAGAUAGAAAUAAAACUUAGUAAAAUCAGUAAAAAUAUUCUUAGACUAAAGUUAAGUAGUUUAAGUUGUGUGCAAGUGGUAGGAGAGCGUUCUAUUUGCGUCGAAGGUAUACCGGUAAGGAGUGCUGGAGCGAAUAGAAGUGAGCAUGCAGGCAUGAGUAGCGAUAAUUAAUGUGAGAAUCAUUAACGCCGUAAACCCAAGGUUUCCUACGCGAUGCUCGUCAUCGUAGGGUUAGUCGGGUCCUAAGUCGAGUCCGAAAGGGGUAGACGAUGGCAAAUUGGUUAAUAUUCCAAUACCAACAUUAGUGUGCGAUGGAAGGACGCUUAGGGCUAAGGGGGCUAGCGGAUGGAAGUGCUAGUCUAAGGUCGUAGGAGGUUAUACAGGCAAAUCCGUAUAACAAUACUCCGAGAACUGAAAGGCUUUUUGAAGUCUUCGGAUGGAUAGAAGAACCCCUGAUGCCGUCGAGCCAAGAAAAGUUUCUAAGUUUAGCUAAUGUUGCCCGUACCGUAAACCGACACAGGUGGGUGGGAUGAGUAUUCUAAGGCGCGUGGAAGAACUCUCUUUAAGGAACUCUGCAAAAUAGCACCGUAUCUUCGGUAUAAGGUGUGGUUAGCUUUGUAUUAGGAUUUACUCCGAAAGCAAGGAAACUUACAACAAAGAGUCCCUCCCGACUGUUUACCAAAAACACAGCACUCUGCUAACUCGUAAGAGGAUGUAUAGGGUGUGACGCCUGCCCGGUGCUCGAAGGUUAAUUGAUGGGGUUAGCAUUAGCGAAGCUCUUGAUCGAAGCCCGAGUAAACGGCGGCCGUAACUAUAACGGUCCUAAGGUAGCGAAAUUCCUUGUCGGUUAAAUACCGACCUGCAUGAAUGGCGUAACGAGAUGGGAGCUGUCUCAAAGAGGGAUCCAGUGAAAUUGUAGUGGAGGUGAAAAUUCCUCCUACCCGCGGCAAGACGGUAAGACCCCGUGGACCUUUACUACAGCUUGACACUGCUACUUGGAUAAGAAUGUGCAGGAUAGGUGGGAGGCUUUGAGUAUAUGACGCCAGUUGUAUAUGAGCCAUUGUUGAGAUACCACUCUUUCUUAUUUGGGUAGCUAACCAGCUUGAGUUAUCCUCAAGUGGGACAAUGUCUGGUGGGUAGUUUGACUGGGGCGGUCGCCUCCCAAAUAAUAACGGAGGCUUACAAAGGUUGGCUCAGAACGGUUGGAAAUCGUUCGUAGAGUAUAAAGGUAUAAGCCAGCUUAACUGCAAGACAUACAAGUCAAGCAGAGACGAAAGUCGGUCUUAGUGAUCCGGUGGUUCUGUGUGGAAGGGCCAUCGCUCAAAGGAUAAAAGGUACCCCGGGGAUAACAGGCUGAUCUCCCCCAAGAGCUCACAUCGACGGGGAGGUUUGGCACCUCGAUGUCGGCUCAUCGCAUCCUGGGGCUGGAGCAGGUCCCAAGGGUAUGGCUGUUCGCCAUUUAAAGCGGUACGCGAGCUGGGUUCAGAACGUCGUGAGACAGUUCGGUCCCUAUCUGCCGUGGGCGUAAGAAGAUUGAAGAGAUUUGACCCUAGUACGAGAGGACCGGGUUGAACAAACCACUGGUGUAGCUGUUGUUCUGCCAAGAGCAUCGCAGCGUAGCUAAGUUUGGAAAGGAUAAACGCUGAAAGCAUCUAAGCGUGAAGCCAACUCUAAGAUGAAUCUUCUCUAAGCUCUCUAGAAGACUACUAGUUUGAUAGGCUGGGUGUGUAAUGGAUGAAAGUCCUUUAGCUGACCAGUACUAAUAGAGCGUUUGGCUUAUCUUUAAUAAAGCAU
rnacentral:rRNA from 1 species